CCCUUAGAUGUUCUGGGCCGCACGCGCGCUACACUGAUUCAUGCAACAAGUUUUUUCCUUGGCUGAUAGGCCUGGGUAAUCUUUGAACGUGAAUCGUGAUGGGGAUAGAUGAUUGCAAUUAUUCAUCUUCAACGAGGAAUUCCUAGUAAACGCAAGUCAUCAGCUUGCAUUGAUUACGUCCCUGCCCUUUGUACACACCGCCCGUCGCACCUACCGAUUGAAUGGUCCGGUGAAAUCUUCGGAUCUGAGAGAUGUCUGAUUAAUUUCGGACGCCUUUUGGAAAAGUUGUUUAAACCUUACCAUUUAGAGGAAGGUGAAGUCGUAACA
rnacentral:rRNA from 1 species